CUCAGAUCACGUGGUUUCGCACUUUCGUCACUGAGCAGCAGGGGGCGCCAGAUCUGAUGUUAGUCACUCGAGUCAGAUUCAGGCCUUCAGCCGGCUUGUUAUGAACAUGUGUUUUAUACCUGGUUGGCAGCUGAGAAACACAGAGCGUGAGGAAUCAUCAUGCAACACCAAGAGCAUCUCUUCAUGUUCACGGACUUCUAUGAGGACGAACAUUAUCUGCUGCAGGACGAGCCUCAUAGCCCAACAGAGAUGAUGAUGAUGAUGAAGAAGGAACACAAGGACGCAGAGCUGGAUAAAAAGAUUGAGGCCUUACGGAAGAAAAAUGAAGCACUUAUGAAACGCUACCAGGAAGUGGAGGAGGAUAAAAAGCGGGCGGAACAGGAAGGGAUGUCACUCCCCUGCAGGAAGGGAAAGCUUGAUGAUCUGUCCAUCACCAUCAACAAAUCCUCUAAUGAUCAGCGUGUUGUGACCAAGAGGCCGGGAGGACUGAGAGAAGGAGAGCCGGAGAAGGACUGUGAUCCUGGAUCCAGUGUCUUCAGCAUCGGGAGAGGAAAACGACGGCAGCUGCUCGUCACGAUGUCAGGAAACAUCAAGGGUAAGAGGGUGUUCGGUGAAAGAAAGGACCGGAACCGGCCCGUGAGUCCAGCCAGGUUGAAGUGUUCAGUUGAAGAAGAGCCGGAGACCAACGCACGAGGAAAGCGUCCUCCGUCCUCAAAGAGAGUCCCGGAGGAGGACGCAGGACAACAGGAUCAUUGGAGUCGAUGUGAAGGAUCUCACAGUGUCCCGGUCUCAACGGCCAUCGCCGACCUGAACAUCAUCGCAUCUAAGGAAGAACAACUCGAGUACCUGCGAUGGAAGAAGGAGCGCGAGGAGAUCGACCGAGAGCGCGUGGCCCGACACAAAAACGCCAAAGGCCAGUGGAGGAGAGCCUGGGACAUGGAUAAAGCCGAUCUGAUGUUCUCUGAAAAGGAACAUGGAGGAACAUCAAACAGAGGAGGUCGAAACACCAGAAGAGGAAAUCUGAGAUCGGAAGAAUCUAGAGGUCGACACCAAGCAUCAGACAGGAAGGGGAAAAGUGUCCCAGUGACGGGGAGUAAAGCGAAGGGUAAAGACCGUCUGACGGGUCGAGCGAGGAGGUGGGACGCUAAAGAGCAGGAGGAGCAUUUGCAGGUUUAUCCAGACAGCAGUCUGCAGGAGUUUUUAGAGGAACUUGAUUCUCUUUGUGCUCCUGAGAGCGUCAAUCCAGAGACUGACAUUGAAAACACAAAGCCAUCUGAAGAGUCAUUCAAAACAGUCGGUGCCGUGACCUCCAAUGGGACGGCGGAUCAGAAUGGACGCGUUUCCACAGAAAUUGCUCAUUCGGAGCCACAUUCUCUGAAGGUUACCGAGAAAAAGGUCCGCUUUUCUGAGAACCAUGACAAGAUCAAGUCAGAAACCGAGACCAGUGCACUGCAAGUGGCCUCACUGAGCACAAACGGCCCUGUAGAAGAAAACAGACAAACACUGGAGCAAGACGACGGCGAAUGUAUCCAGAAAGAGAUAAAAGCUCUAUCUCCAGAGCAGGAAAACCGCCUCGCAGAACUGAAUCCAGUCACUGAAGGAAGUGCAACUGAACCAUCGUGUCCUGAAUCCGCAGAUGUUUCUAUAUCAGCAGAACCAGGCGAGAACCAACCUGUUGAACACAGCAAGAGCUGCUCUUCUAGAGGAAAUGAAGAAAUGGACUCGAAUCUGUCUGUCCUGAAUCUGGAGCCGGGCGACGCUCUUCCCGACCACAGCACCAGCGCUGAUAUGGUGAGUGUGCCGCAUUAAAACAUCAAUCUGCGGCUGCACUUUCUCAUUUGACUUGCAGAUUUGAAGUGUCCCACCUCACAGGAUUUAGCGGCCCACUGAAACUCCAUUAUCGAGCUGAAGUGCUUCAGAAAUACCCUAGAAAGCAGCACUAUAUAUGUAACCAGGCCACAUAUUCAACCUUCGAAGUAAAGAGCAUGGUUGCAUCAGUUUUAAAGUGUUUAAAUGCAACACUUUGCACUCCAGGCAAGAGAGAAUGGGAAAGUUGUUUAGAUGGAAAAGAUGUCACUCACAUCUGGAGCGAAACUUCAUGCACUAAAACCAAAACACAGAAGAACGAAAAUAUAAUUUGCCUUUUUUAUGUGACUGACUCACGUGACUCUUGAACCUUCUGUGUUUGGAGUAUUUUUGUGUCAUUUUUUGGAUGCUGAACAUUGAAAACACUGGUUGGCAGUGACGUCGUGAUUGUUCUGAGUAGUUUAUCUUCUCGUAGGCUAAAGAUUGUUAAUGCUUCAACGCACAGUUAACCUUUAUCUGAGCCACCACACCCAAAGGUCCGAUGUUAUUUUUGUGGGAUCUUUGGUGGUUUGGUGGGACUUUAGUCUGAAAGCACUACAAACAACUUGAAUGUGUAACUUUAGUGGAACAAACCCAUAGACACCGUGUGCAUUUAGAGCAGGAACUUUAGAGAUUUACACAGCACACUAACUGACUAACCUAGUAGUAUUCUUCAUCAGAACUCAUAUAUGUCAAUGAAAUCAAACCUGACCGAUGCUGAUCUACUUUACAAUCACGUGUCAUGGGAUUUUGUGUGGAUAGUUCACAAGGAUCGUUCAAGUAUGUUUAUUAGCACUUUAUUUUGUAUGAAUUAUCUGAAAAGUUACCAGAAGUUGUUUGGUUUUAUUAUCUAAUUAAAAUGAAGGGUGUUUACAGUUCUUUCAGAUUGAAUUAUUUUGUUUAACUAAAGACUGCAAGAAUGUUUUCUAGCUGAACAUUGACAUUUGUUUUGGUUACAGGUGGGUCAGUUUGAAGCAGGUACUGCUAGUUUAGCACGUUUAAAUGUAUGUGGCAAUGAAUUAUCAUCGUACUGGUGUUCAUCUUCUCAACAUUUCAGUAUUUCUGAGUUGGACGCCGUUACGGUUUGAAGAACACAUGAAGGGUUUAAUGUUUUAAGUGACUUAAGAUUUGAUUUUUAUAUUUUGCUGACACUCUCAUUAAGUAUUUUGUGUUCAUUUGGUUUUGAAAUGAAUGUUAAAUAGAAAUAAGCAUUAAAAAACACUUUUACCAGCCCUGUGCUGUGAUGCUUGCACUGAUUCAUGAACAAAUUAAAAAAAACUUUUUACCAUAA